CUAUAUUCUCAGCGACAUUUUUGACUAAAUAUUUACACUGAGUUGAAUUUUGACAUCAAACAAACAACACAUACAAAAAUAAAAAAACAUCAAGUGGCAUGCCUAUGCCGCCUUCACAGCAAGCUGCUGGAUCAAUCGAAUUGGAUGUAAUCGGAUCGAUGUGAGCAAGCUUAGCCCAUGCCGGCUUCACAACAAGCUGCUGGAUCAAUCGAUCUUUGAGCUAGCUUUCAACAUACAUCUGUCUCCUCUGGAUGAAUCGAUUCAGUGCCUUCACCAACAGGCGAGGGACUCCCACCGACGGCGCCAGGUACGAGACGGGAUGAUGUCGAGCAUGGGCAUCGGGAGGAAGGUCAACAGUCCCGUCGCCGGCUUGCUAGCCUUCGAGCCUGACGACCCCGAGGAUCCGCACAAGGCUUGACACCAGAUCCACGCCGGGAUGGCCGAUGCGUUGCUUGCCUCCCACUCAGUUGCUCGCCUCCUCCUGCCAUUCGUGUCCUCUACCGCUGCUAGCUCGCCCCACCGCUCCCAUGCUCCUAGACCGCCGCCACUGCUCCGCUCCCAUGGCAGCAGCGCAGACGCAGAUCGAGAAAGGGGAGAGCGGCUGUGGAGAGUAUCUUCCUCAUAUGGCAGCUCGCCGCUCACCCGCCCCGCUGGUAGCUCGCCGUCGCCCCACUGGGAUGCGAGAGAGAGGCCUCGCCGGAGAGGGAGAGAGGUGGGAGUGCUGGGAGAGAGACGAGGGAGUUGCGGGCUGAGCCGUUCCGCGUGGUUCCACCGAAUCGGAGGGCCCCGUGCCGCAUAUUGAGGGAAUAUGACGCUCCAGAGAAUCA
rnacentral:rRNA from 1 species